GCGUCCCUCUGACUGGCAUCAGUUCUUUCUCUCCUGCGACGGAUUCGGGGUCAUUUGGGCUCAGGUUCGCUCUGCAAAAGGAAAGCGAAAGAUGGAAACAGCUCCAAAGAGGCAUCCAAAAGCUAAUGGUGAAGCAUUGUGCUAAGGGGGUUGGGGCUGAUGCAAAUGGCUGGCUCUGUGUCAAUUGCAGGACAGCCAAGUCCGGAUGGUCUCAAAACAUAUCUCCUCUUCGGAGAGACGGCCUUCCCCGGGGGCAGGGGGGUGUUACCUGCUGAGCAGAUAAUUCACAAGAAAUGUAUUGAGGUAAUAUUACUUCCUUCCCAUUUCAGCAAACUAUGAAUCUUGUAUGAAUUUAGAGAUUUGCCAACUGCCGUGUGGGCCAAGCCCUGUCACUGAGAGAAGGGCUGGGCAGGAGAGGCAGGAAGCAGCAGAGCCCCAGAUAACGGGCAGCUGGCAGCUCAGUUGUUAGAUCAGGGCCUGCUGAAGUGCCCGUAGCUCCGUGGACCCGAGCAUGGAGGGCAGUCUGAUGACUGCAGAGUGGGAGCAGGGAGCUCUGUAAAGCACUGAGCAUAAGUGGAGACAGAACCUGACAGCACGAAUGGAAGGAGCUUUCUGUGCGUGGCACUGAGAAGCAGGACCAAGCACCCGGGAGGGCCCAAAACUGUGCUGGUUGGUUCUGAUGUCGUCCUUCCAAUGCUCCAUCGGGAAUCCAGAGUCCUUCAGGAGAAACUGGAUAGACGAGACCUGAUACUUCUCUUAAGGGACACGCAUAGAAACAGUCCUUUCCAGACUUUUUCCCUUGAAAAUUAGAACUGCCAAGAUUACAAAGCCUAGAACUCCGAAUAUAGAGCCAAAGAGAAUUGCUUGGUGGUUAUCUGAAAAAGGGGAGAGGAAAACAAAUGAGAAUAUGAUAUUCUGCCUUCAGGGAGGGGAAAAAAGAAACCACUAGACUGUAGGAUUUCACCAAAAUCCCUUGUGCUAAAUGUCAGAACAGCUGGCUGAAGUCCAAUGCAAUCCAGUAAAAAAUAGUGAUAAUGUGUAAAUAAUAUUAUGAACCUACAGAGUUGAUCUACAACUUCAACGCUCACAGCUUCAACAGGAAGCUUAAAAACAUUUUUGAGAUUUUGUCUCAGCCUUCCAAAAAAAAAAAGAAAAGGAAAAAAAGGAAGAAAAAUUCCAUUUACAGAGAUCCAGGUCAGGAAAUUAAGCUUCAAGAACCUAUAGCCGUUAAUAGAAGGAGUUUGUAUCCAUACAAAGACAAGCAUAUGGCAUAUAUGAGGAGAACAAAUGCACACAAGGUAAAGACGAAUCUCUACAACAUUGUCUUCCAAAGUUACACUUUCUGGAGAGGCUAUAUGCUCGUGCCUGCUCGUGUUCCACUCGCUAAGUUUCUUUUCCGGGAGUUGUUUCUUGCUCCCUGGCUGCAUGCUGCUGUGUGAAGAGAAGCUGCUGUGGCAGUGGUAAGGCCUUGCACUUGGAUUAUAAUUGGAAGCAUAUCGGAAUAAUUAUUAGCAGAGAGUUUCCAUGGGGACUUUAAUUAAAGAAAACAAUACUGAAAGCAACACUGUUCAAGUCUAACAGUUUGAAAUUUCAAAUACAAAUUGGGAUUUUGCAAAAUCAAUGGUGGUUUUCUUUAAGUGGCUUCCACCCCGCCCUCCAGGUUUUUUCCACCUUUUUCUUAAUUACUCAUUUUAAUUUCUCCAAUUAUUGAGACAUUAACAUUUAGGGCUAUUAAC